UCCGUAGGCGGGCGUCUAAGUCAGUGGUGAAAUCUUACAGCUCAACUGUAAAAUUGCCAUUGAUACUGGAUGUCUUGAAUUAGUGUGAAGUGGUUAGAAUGUGAAGUGUAGCGGUGAAAUGCAUAGAUAUUACACAGAAUACCAAUUGCGAAGGCAGAUCACUAACACUAUAUUGACGCUGAGGGACGAAAGCGUGGGGAGCGAACAGGAUUAGAUACCCUGGUAGUCC
rnacentral:rRNA from 1 species